rnacentral:piRNA from 1 species
UGAGUCGGCGAUUCUGCCCAGAAUAAGGUGC